rnacentral:piRNA from 1 species
UCUGUUUUCUCCAGUGCCCCAUACUC